rnacentral:lncRNA from 1 species
UAGAAUGUAUCUUCCCGGACUGCUACCCAGGGUUUUGCAUGCGUCAUUUGGGAGAGAACUUCCAAAGGCAAUUGAAGAACAUUACUUAGAAGAGUUCGAAGAAUAGUAUGGAAGGUAACCAUUGCAGUAAGGGUAGAAGAGUUCAAGGAAGAGAUAUCAAGAAUACGGGAAGUUGAUCCUCAAGUUUAUGACUGAAUAAAGGCACAACCACAUUAAUAUUGUGGGUGCAUGUUCAGAGUACGGAGAGACCUAGAGUUUGGGGCCAUCUGAUUUCGG